rnacentral:rRNA from 1 species
CCCGGCACGGGGAGGUAGUGACGAAAAAUAACGAUACGGGACUCAUCCGAGGCCCCGUAAUCGGAAUGAGAACACUCUAAACAAGUGUCCGAAAAUCAAUUGGAGGGUAAGUCUGGUGCCAGCAGCCGCGGUAAGACCAGCUCCAAUAGCGUAUAUUAAAGUUGUUGCGGUUAAAAAGCUCGUAGUCGAAUUUGUGUCCCGCGCCGCUGGUUCAUCGCUCGCGGUGUUCAACUGGCGUGUCUCGCGGGACGUCCUGCCGGUGGGACCACGAGGCUCUUCGGGGUCGCGUGUCCCUAUUCGUGUCCGUCUUGUACGGUAGCGGAUCCUAUCGCGGUGCUCUUUAUUGAGUGUCGAGGUGGGUCGGCACAUUUACUUUGAACAAAUUAGAGUGCUUCAAGCAGGCCAGUUUUGCCUGAAUAUUCUGUGCAUGGAAUAAUAGAAUAGGACCUCGGUUCUAUGUUGUUGGUUUUCGGACCCCGAGGUAAUGAUUAAUAGGGACGGAUGGGGGCAUUCGUAUUGCGACGUUAGAGGUGAAAUUCUUGGAUCGUCGCAGGACGGACUAAAGCGAAAGCAUUUGCCAAAAACGUUUUCAUUGAUCAAGAACGAAAGUUAGAGGCCCGAAGGCGAUCAGAUACCGCCCUAGUUCUAACCAUAAACGAUGCCAGCUAGCGAUCCGCCGACGUUCCUCCGAUGACUCGGCGGGCAGCUUCCGGGAAACCAAAGCUUUUGGGUUCCGGGGGAAGUAUGGUUGCAAAGCUGAAACUUAAAGGAAUUGACGGAAGGGCACCACCAGGAGUGGAGCCUGCGGCUUAAUUUGACUCAACACGGGUAAUCUCACCAGGUCCCGGACACCGGAAAGGAUUGACAGAUUGAGAGCUCUUUCUUGAUUCGGUGGGUGGUGGUGCAUGGCCGUUCUUAGUUGGUGGAUUGAUUUGUCUGCUUAAUU